GCAAGUAUAUGGCACCCAACUCAACCUUGAGUUGGAGGAAACAAAUAGAAAAAUAGAGGAACUGCAAAAUGAGUUGGUGGAAAAAGAUAGAAAAAAAGAUGAACAAAUAGAGAAACUGCAAAAUGAGUUAGUGGAAAAAGAUAGAAAAAAGGGAUGAACAAAUAAAGCAAAUUAGACAAGAAUCAAAGCGCCAAUUUGAUCUCCUAAUGUCACGUGUUUUAGGAACACAAGGUCUGAAUAUUGCUCAUUUUGAUUGGAAUGUUUAAAGAAACAUGAAAAUGGUUAUAUAUGGUAUUGAUGAGUCGUACAGGUUAUCAGUUCUUACAUCUGGAAAGCUUUUUUUGUAAUCCUUUUUUUUGCUGCUUAGCUAUAUAUGAAGUUUAAUUUCUCAAUGAACAUUGUUGUUGAUGUAUGCCUUCUUUGGCACUUGCUUAAAACUUGACAA